rnacentral:misc_RNA from 1 species
AAUUGGUGUUGAGGAGUCUGGCCUACGACAGCAAAUCACAUUCACAUGAUGCUACAACAUCAGACUCAGACCUCUUCAACGAAACUUUAGGAUUUUUACUCAACAGGUACAGCAAAAAGUAGCAACGAUGAUAAUCAAUCAUAUAGAAAAACAAAAUUAUAAGUAGCCAUAUGUAACAACUAUAAACAAGCGACAAGAACUACAAAGAUUGCUAUUGACUUCUGCAGUUCUGCCAGUAAAUUAUAUCUGCAAAAUCACAAACUACAUAUCAUAUAUAUUUACGAGCUCAGAAAACCAUGUCAGAGAAGCAUUCAAAACAAAGAACUUGUCACAUGUGCAGAAAUAAACAAGGACAACACAAAAAUCAGAAAUAAGAUCCACUAGUGACAGGUCCACAUCAAAUCACCUCCAUACAUAUAUAUUCAGAAAAGCCUUCAAACCAACCAAUUACUCCUAGUUACUAAUGGAUAACCAAAAAAAUCCAAACGACCCCUGACACCACAAACGGUAAUCAAUAACAAACAUUUUAUAAACCAAACAAAUUUCUUCGUAUCUACUCCUAGUUAAAGCCGAAAAAUCGCCAACCCAAAUUCACAUUAACAUAAUACAACAAACAAUU